rnacentral:rRNA from 1 species
GGGUUGUGAGGUUAAGCGACUAAGCGUACACGGUGGAUGCCCUGGCAGUCAGAGGCGAUGAAGGGCGUGCUAAUCUGCGAUAAGCGCCGGUAAGGUGAUAUGAACCGUUAUAACCGGCGAUACCCGAAUGGGGAAACCCAGUGUGACUCGUCACACUAUCAUUAACUGAAUCCAUAGGUUAAUGAGGCGAACCGGGGAACUGAAACAUCUAAGUACCCCGAGGAAAAGAAAUCAACCGAGAUUCCCCAGUAGCGGCGAGCGAACGGGGAGGAGCCCAGAGCCUGAAUCAGCAUGUGUGUUAGUGGAAGCGUCUGGAAAGGCGCGCGAUACAGGGUGACAGCCCCGUACACAAAAGCGCAUGUGCUGUGAGCUCGAUGAGUAGGGCGGGACACGUGGUAUCCUGUCUGAAUAUGGGGGGACCAUCCUCCAAGGCUAAAUACUCCUGACUGACCGAUAGUGAACCAGUACCGUGAGGGAAAGGCGAAAAGAACCCCGGCGAGGGGAGUGAAAAAGAACCUGAAACCGUGUACGUACAAGCAGUGGGAGCCCCACCACUAAGCCAGUGGUGAACUCCACAUACGCAUCCUUUGCUGAGGAUACGGUUAACGGAGCGAAAGCGACGUUCAACCUCAAAAGAAGCAGAGGGGGCUUAGUGGUGGGGUGACUGCGUACCUUUUGUAUAAUGGGUCAGCGACUUAUAUUCUGUAGCAAGGUUAACCGAAUAGGGGAGCCGGAGGGAAACCGAGUCUUAAUUGGGCGUUAAGUUGCAGGGUAUAGACCCGAAACCCGGUGAUCUAGCCAUGGGCAGGUUGAAGGUUGGGUAACACUAACUGGAGGACCGAACCGACUAAUGUUGAAAAAUUAGCGGAUGACCUGUGGCUGGGGGUGAAAGGCCAAUCAAACCGGGAGAUAGCUGGUUCUCCCCGAAAGCUAUUUAGGUAGCGCCUCGUGAAUUCAUCUCCGGGGGUAGAGCACUGUUUCGGCUAGGGGGCCAUCCCGGCUUACCAACCCGAUGCAAACUGCGAAUACCGGAGAAUGUUAUCACGGGAGACACACGGCGGGUGCUAACGUCCGUCGUGAAGAGGGAAACAACCCAGACCGCCAGCUAAGGUCCCAAAGUCAUGGUUAAGUGGGAAACGAUGUGGGAAGGCCCAGACAGCCAGGAUGUUGGCUUAGAAGCAGCCAUCAUUUAAAGAAAGCGUAAUAGCUCACUGGUCGAGUCGGCCUGCGCGGAAGAUGUAACGGGGCUAAACCAUGCACCGAAGCUGCGGCAGCGACGCUGAUGCGUUGUUGGGUAGGGGAGCGUUCUGUAAGCCUGCGAAGGUGGCCUGUGAGGGUUGCUGGAGGUAUCAGAAGUGCGAAUGCUGACAUAAGUAACGAUAAAGCGGGUGAAAAGCCCGCUCGCCGGAAGACCAAGGGUUCCUGUCCAACGUUAAUCGGGGCAGGGUGAGUCGACCCCUAAGGCGAGGCCGAAAGGCGUAGUCGAUGGGAAACGGGUUAAUAUUCCCGUACUUGGUGUUACUGCGAAGGGGGGACGGAGAAGGCUAUGUUGGCCGGGCGACGGUUGUCCCGGUUUAAGCGUGUAGGUGUGUGUUCCAGGUAAAUCCGGUUCACUUUAACACUGAGGCGUGACGACGAGGCACUACGGUGCUGAAGCAACAAAUGCCCUGCUUCCAGGAAAAGCCUCUAAGCAUCAGGUAACAUCAAAUCGUACCCCAAACCGACACAGGUGGUCAGGUAGAGAAUACCAAGGCGCUUGAGAGAACUCGGGUGAAGGAACUAGGCAAAAUGGUGCCGUAACUUCGGGAGAAGGCACGCUGACACGUAGGUGAAGUGAUUUACUCAUGGAGCUGAAGUCAGUCGAAGAUACCAGCUGGCUGCAACUGUUUAUUAAAAACACAGCACUGUGCAAACACGAAAGUGGACGUAUACGGUGUGACGCCUGCCCGGUGCCGGAAGGUUAAUUGAUGGGGUCAGCGCAAGCGAAGCUCCUGAUCGAAGCCCCGGUAAACGGCGGCCGUAACUAUAACGGUCCUAAGGUAGCGAAAUUCCUUGUCGGGUAAGUUCCGACCUGCACGAAUGGCGUAAUGAUGGCCAGGCUGUCUCCACCCGAGACUCAGUGAAAUUGAACUCGCUGUGAAGAUGCAGUGUACCCGCGGCAAGACGGAAAGACCCCGUGAACCUUUACUAUAGCUUGACACUGAACAUUGAGCCUUGAUGUGUAGGAUAGGUGGGAGGCUUUGAAGUGUGGACGCCAGUCUGCAUGGAGCCGACCUUGAAAUACCACCCUUUAAUGUUUGAUGUUCUAACGUGGACCCGUUACCCGGGUUGCGGACAGUGUCUGGUGGGUAGUUUGACUGGGGCGGUCUCCUCCUAAAGAGUAACGGAGGAGCACGAAGGUUGGCUAAUCCUGGUCGGACAUCAGGAGGUUAGUGCAAUGGCAUAAGCCAGCUUGACUGCGAGCGUGACGGCGCGAGCAGGUGCGAAAGCAGGUCAUAGUGAUCCGGUGGUUCUGAAUGGAAGGGCCAUCGCUCAACGGAUAAAAGGUACUCCGGGGAUAACAGGCUGAUACCGCCCAAGAGUUCAUAUCGACGGCGGUGUUUGGCACCUCGAUGUCGGCUCAUCACAUCCUGGGGCUGAAGUAGGUCCCAAGGGUAUGGCUGUUCGCCAUUUAAAGUGGUACGCGAGCUGGGUUUAGAACGUCGUGAGACAGUUCGGUCCCUAUCUGCCGUGGGCGCUGGAGAACUGAGGGGGGCUGCUCCUAGUACGAGAGGACCGGAGUGGACGCAUCACUGGUGUUCGGGUUGUCAUGCCAAUGGCACUGCCCGGUAGCUAAAUGCGGAAGAGAUAAGUGCUGAAAGCAUCUAAGCACGAAACUUGCCCCGAGAUGAGUUCUCCCUGAGACUUUAAGUCUCCUGAAGGAACGUUGAAGACGACGACGUUGAUAGGCCGGGUGUGUAAGCGCAGCGAUGCGUUGAGCUAACCGGUACUAAUGAACCGUGAGGCUUAACCUUACAACGCCGAAG